rnacentral:rRNA from 1 species
GACGAACGCUGGCGGCGUGCUUAACACAUGCAAGUCGAACGGAAAGGCCCUGCUUUUGUGGGGUGCUCGAGUGGCGAACGGGUGAGUAACACGUGAGUAACCUGCCCUUGACUUUGGGAUAACUUCAGGUAACUGGGGCUAAUACCGGAUAGGAGCUCCUGCUGCAUGGUGGGGGUUGGAAAGUUUCGGCGGUUGGGGAUGGACUCGCGGCUUAUCAGCUUGUUGGUGGGGUAGUGGCUUACCAAGGCUUUGACGGGUAGCCGGCCUGAGAGGGUGACCGGCCACAAUGGGACUGAGGUACGGCCCAGACUCCUACGGGAGGCAGCAGUGGGGAAUAUUGCACAGUGGGCGGAAGCCUGAUGCAGCAACGCCGCGUGCGGGAUGACGGCCUUCGGGUUGUGAACCGCUUUCGCCUGUGACGAAGCGUGAGUGACGGUAAUGGGUAAAGAAGCACCGGCUAACUACGUG